rnacentral:misc_RNA from 1 species
UAAAGUGCGAUAUUUAGUGCGAUUUGCAUGAAUCUGUGAGUCAUCGAGUUUUUGAACGCAUCUUGCGCCCUAUACGGGCAUGUCCUUUUGAGUACCGAUUAACCUCUUGUUGACUAAUGCCUUGGCUUGGUCUAAAAGGCUAGUAUAACUCUAUGAGAGAAUAGUGCCAAGUUGUGUAUUGUAUUCAACUAACUAUCCCUUCAUACUAACCCGGUCUCAGAGUGGCAAGACUACCCACUGAACUUAA